CCCUUAGAUGUUCUGGGCCGCACGCGCGCUACACUGACUGGUGCAACAAGUGUCUGACCUUGGCUCGAGAGGCCUGGGCAACCUUUGAACGCCAGUCGUGCUGGGGAUAGAUUCUUGCAAUUAUUAAUCUUCAACGAGGAAUUCCUAGUAAACGCAAGUCAUCAGCUUGCAUUGAUUACGUCCCUGCCCUUUGUACACACCGCCCGUCGCACCUACCGAUUGAAUGGUCCGGUGAAAUCUCGGGACGGCGGCUUGGUCGCUUGCGUCCGACUGCUGAAACUUGAUUAAACCAUAUCAUUUAGAGGAAGGUGANGUCGUAACA
rnacentral:rRNA from 1 species